GUAGGUGGCAAGCGUUGUCCGGAAUUAUUGGGCGUAAAGCGCGCGCAGGCGGUUCUUUAAGUCUGAUGUGAAAGCCCACGGCUCAACCGUGGAGGGUCAUUGGAAACUGGAGAACUUGAGUACAGAAGAGGAAAGCGGAGUUCCACGUGUAGCGGUGAAAUGCGUAGAGAUGUGGAGGAACACCAGUGGCGAAGGCGGCUUUCUGGUCUGUAACUGACGCUGAGGCGCGAAAGCGUGGGGAGCAAACAGGAUUAGAUACCCUGGUAGUCCACGCCGUAAACGAUGAGUGCUAAGUGUUAGGGGGUUUCCGCCCCCCUUAGUGCUGCAGCUAACGCAUUAAGCACUCCGCCUGGGAUACGGCCGCAAGGCUG
rnacentral:rRNA from 1 species